GCAGCUCAUAGGGCGGCCUGCCUUCCAGAGGGCCUUGGGACUGGAUCGAAAGAUAUAUCUACUAGAAACAAUGAAGAGACGUCGUCGACUAGCUCUGAUCGAUCAGAUGUCGGUUUCUCUCAACCAGACCCCAGCGAUAUUGGAAGUUGUUCUCCACGGGCGGGUCUCAGCGACGAAGCCAGUCAAAACCAAAGGACUAUCUCCGAAGAAGGCGGGUCUGGUAGGCUCAGCCAUUGGCCCUCCUCUUCAGCGAUCGGUAGUGGACGAAAACGAAAACAAGCGAAUACAGGAACAAACGACACCUGCAGGAAAAAGCAAGCCCGUCGUGAGGGAUUCUCCCAUCCAAACAGUUCUCCACAGCCAGGACCCAGCGGUUAUAACCCGGGACGGCCGACAACAACACCCUCACCAACACCAGGUGAAAUAAGCCAACAUUUCAACGGGGCCUUAACAACGAUCGACGUGCCCGUCCCACCAGCAGACAACGGCGACAUUGCAUCAUAUUUCAACAACAACACUGGCCGUCUUCGCGAGGCAGUAGAGUCUGUAUUCCAAGGCUGCCAGCAGG